rnacentral:rRNA from 1 species
UAGGGAAUCUUCGGCAAUGGGGGCAACCCUGACCGAGCAACGCCGCGUGAGUGAAGAAGGUUUUCGGAUCGUAAAGCUCUGUUGUAAGAGAAGAACGUGUGUGAGAGUGGAAAGUUCACACAGUGACGGUAACUUACCAGAAAGGGACGGCUAACUACGUGCCAGCAGCCGCGGUAAUACGUAGGUCCCGAGCGUUGUCCGGAUUUAUUGGGCGUAAAGCGAGCGCAGGCGGUUUAAUAAGUCUGAAGUUAAAGGCAGUGGCUUAACCAUUGUUCGCUUUGGAAACUGUUAAACUUGAGUGCAGAAGGGGAGAGUGGAAUUCCAUGUGUAGCGGUGAAAUGCGUAGAUGUAUGGAGGAACACCGGUGGCGAAAGCGGCUCUCUGGUCUGUAACUGACGCUGAGGCUCGAAAGCGUGGGGAGCAAACAGG